AAUUAUCUCCUAAAAUAACUCCAAGAUGGCUGUGUAUUGCACCGGGGAUGCUGGGUGCUGCCCUUUACCCUAUGACCUUUGGCCUCCCUCCUCUGGAAACAGGAGAAAGGACAACAACAGAAAAUAAACAGGUGGAGGCGAGCGAGGAAGCAAGGUUUCCCUGUCUUAGAUAGCCAAGAACUGCAUCCAGGCCAGGCAAUGAUGGAAGAGUAGGAAGGCAGUAAUGAUGGAGAAACACUCACUCACUCUCUGAUCUGCAGCAACAGCUGAAAUACUGAUACUGUGCAUAAUUUAAAGAGAUCCUAAUGUGGCGAGUCGCUGGGCACAGUGAUCUGCAGCCAGGGCAAGUACAGCGCUGGUGACAGCACCCCUGAGGGAGAGUUCACACACAAGUUCUGCUGCAGGGGAUUCAGUUGGAGCAGGCUACAGAAGGUGGCCGAAGGGUAUGCAGAAUUAAAAGUUUGGAUCAUUAGCAAGUCUGCCAGACAUCGCUCGUGCAUUAUCAAGGAGCAUGGAGGAGUCCAGCAGCAACCUGUGGUGAGGCACAGAGCCUGAAGCCCAUCCUUCCAGUGUGGAAGUGAAUUAUUGUGGACCCAAUCAUGUUGCAGCUUCAGGUGGCCAAUUUCUCAGCUUAUAUUGCAGCACAGGCAGAACCACCCAAUGGCUGGGUGUUGCAGUAGAGGCUCAGACCUCUGCCAUGCAAGCUCAGCUUGAUGCCAUGCAAAUUUAGACUGCCAUCAGAGUUGCAGAUACCAAUGUCCAAAAGGACUUGCAGUCCAACAAUCUGUCCUCCACAGACUAUUAGAAUUGCUGAAAUGCCGCCCAGGAGGUGUGGCAUUGGCUCCAUGUAGCACAAAUCUGCUGUCCUCUCUCAGGAUGACAGCAUUCUUCCUCCCAGCACUGUCACUCUGCCAAUCCCUUGCAGUUGUUUGUCAACCAGGCUGCUGCUGUGCAUGCUGAAAUAGUGCAUUCCGAAGCUAGGCCUCUAGCUACAGAGCUGAUUGAGGUCAUCUUGCAGGUUGUGGCUGCAGCAGGUAGCAUAUUUCAGUGAGAACAUCCUUAGGGAAGUGGAGAUGUCUCACACUGUUUCUCACUGAGGUUCAGGGAGGAGAAUUGCUCCCUGUGCACCCUGGGCAAUAUGACGUCCUGCUGAGCGUCCUUCUCCUCCCUCUUCUAGCAGCUUGUCCUGUUUUGAGUCACGUCUGCUGAUUCCUCCUGUCAUGCUGUAGUCCAUGUGGAAUGUCUGCUACUGAAUCUAUGUCUAGGAGCAGGUUUGAUGUGCAGAAUCCUUGAAGUCAGGGCAAAAUCCUUCAGCAUGUAUCACACCACUAUCUCUAGACUUUAGCUACUUUAAAUAACUCUUCUACAAUUGCAACAACAGUCAGUAGGAAAUCAACUAAGCUGUAAGCAAUAUUUCUUUGUUAUACAUGGCUUGUUUAUUGCAGUGUACGUUCAAGAUGACCAGUUAGCUCAUUUAGCUGGAUGGCUACCGUAUUGUUCAGAAUAACACCAACAGCAUGGGUUCAGUUGUCAUUCCAGCUGAGGUAGACUUGGGGUCUGCCUCCUCCCCUGCCCCAUGCUUGAUAUGGUGUGGUGCCCCUCAAGCUACAUAUAACCAAUUGUCUCUCUCUCUAAUAGAGAUACCGAUGGUCCCUGGGGACUAUGACUAAUUACUUAUAUGUUCAAGAUUGCUGCCUAGUGUAUUCAAGAUUGCUCAAUGGUCAUGCAGACACACACCUUAAAGGGAACGUUAGUUGUGCACAGCCUAUUUAUUGGACUGCACUGCAUAUUUCCAAGUUCCAAAUGGAUGUGCAUCCAUGCAACUUAGAACGUUGCCUUUACGUAGUUGGUGAUUCCUUUCGACAGUUCUAUUGGAGGAUCCUUCGCACUGCUGUAUGCAUGUUCCACUGAUAAGGUUAAAGAAAGGUCAUUAGCAGAUGUGUUGAAAUUCAAAUUGGCAACACUGUGACAUGGUUUGCCUACUCUGCAUACUUCUGGCAUGCACUUGCUAACACCCUCGCCAAGAUGGCAUCCAGCACAGCUAGCAGCAAAAGUGUGCAUGCACUCCACUGAUGCCAUUUUAAGGCAAAUUGACACUCAUAGCUCCAAAAAAAUGGGGGCUGUGGAACCCAAUUCCACAGUCUAUGGGUACAAUUUUCUCAGCUUAGUCCCUGGCCAAACAGUGGGACGUGUAGCGGGUCAGGAACACAUUCACAAUUUCAAUGGACUUUGUUAUGGCUCUUUAACAUCCAUUAGCAUUUUGCUUCCUGGUUUCCCAACCAAACAUUGAGGGCAGGCUGAAUGUGUUGCAAUUAAGAGGUUUAUAAGAUUAUUAUGUUUUAACUCUGUAUCUUUAACAUAAAAUGAAGAGGGCCAUAUGGCCUGCUCUAAGGUCAACAUGACAGCAAGCCUGGGUGGUUUGAUUGUUAGAGAUUAAAGGGGGCCCAGAUUGCUUUACUGGGCAGAAGGUGCAAGGUGUUUAUGCUUAGACAAUGUCAGCAGCCAGUGUGCUAACUGUGGGUCUCCAAAGUCCGAGAAAAGUGUUGAGAAUGUCAGGUUGAAAACGGCUGUGCAUUAAACUGUCCCUUUACUCCCAAGAUAAAAAAGAGUCAGGGUCUUUAGGAUAGCUAAUCAGAAGCUGUACCUGGACACAACCCAUGUGAUGCACAUUGCCAUGGUGCACAUUGAGAUGGGAAGGGUACAGAGAAAGCUGUUGUGAUAUUGGGUUACAGGCUUUCCUAAAAUAUCAUUGAAUAUCACAGACAGAUUAGUCUACCAAAGUGCAGGAAAGAGAGAGAGCAGCUAGAGACCAAAAGUCUCUGGAUCACUGUGCCAGAGUGUGGGUGGAAGUUCACUCUCUGAUUAAAAAGGCAAAUUCACGAAGAGUUAAAACGAAGCUGAAGAUUUACCUAGCCUGUGCUAGAGGCAGUUUCUCACCAUGAAGGACAGUACUGGGGUUACAAGUUACCAGGCUGAAAAAGAAAAAGAACAAAAGUAUACCUUGGUAACUAAGGAUUAUUUUGAACAGAUUCUGGGAGAACUGAAUGUCUACUUAAAGGACAGUGUAACGUAUACCUAAUAGUGGAUUUUUCAGUUAUGUUAAAAGUUCUGUUCUGUAGUUUUAAGUAUCAGUAGCCUACAAAAAUAGUGUUUGGUUAGUAGUCAGCACUGUUCAUUACAGUAAAUGUCUUAAAACAUGAAA